UGCUCCCCGAGCGCCGCUGUAGCAGGCAGCUCACUGCUCCGGGUAUGAUAGUGCAGACCCUGUCAGGAAGCAAGUGGAAGAGAGAUGGGGUGACAGACACAAUAUCUUGCAGGGUAACCACAUAACCAGCUCCAUGUAUUCCAACUGGAUGAUUAAAGCUCUCAAGAAAAAAACUGAUGAUUCUCAAGAGAAAGGGUCUGCUAGUACUGGCCCAGGAGUCUGUCCCCAUGGAUCCACACCAGGCCUGGGCCUAAUUUGGACCACAGGCAGGCCAGAUCUGCACCAGUUAUCUGCCAUGCGGCAUGCCUCUUUGAGCCCCGCAGGUGUUGUGCCGAGUUUCUAUUUUUCACCAGAGCUGCAGAGAAGCUCAGAGGUUGUCCACGUCAGCAUCAGCGCAGUGACAGCCCGCAGCUGCAGUGGCGUUCCCGUAUGAACCCCAGCGGAACGGCUCUCCUCAGGCUCCAUCUGCCGAGCCCAGUCUCUUUCGUAACCUCCGGCCUGCGCCUCACCUCGCCUCACUGGAAUCCUCGGAAUGUCGUCUCUUUUCCCUCGUUUUCUACCGCUCUGUGAAAAACAUUGCCUGUUCGAAAAGUGCGUCACGGCCCUGAGCUGAAAUGUCGCACAUUGGUGCGAAGGGGAAGGCUCUGGCUGGCCUCUUGGCCUUGCAGCGCAGGCUCUUAGACACCAGUGCAAAUAUUUGUGCCAAUGACAUCACUUUAACAAAGGGCUUAGACAAUCAAAGGAAAGCGCAGCCCCAGUUUUGCGUAAUCUUGUGUAGAAAAAGAAGGCUUACAGACAAAGCCUCGUCAUAUUUUUGGUCUGAUAGGACACAUGGUUUUAUAAUACACUUGCAUAUGUGUCUGUGUGUGAAUACAUGCUUGUGUGUGUGUGUGCAUGUGUGCACAUUUGUACAAUAUCCUCCUGACUACCAGCAGUUCAAUUUUGUCCUCUCUAGAGGACCUUUAUAAACCGGAAUAUCUCCCACACCAUACAUUCUACUGAGCUAAUUCCUUUUGUUCUCUAAAGAGGACAUUUAGGGCUUUUAAAUGGUAUCACAUGUAUAGGGGUGGGUAUUUGGGAACUUCCUCUUCCUCUUCAAAGAAAAUGGCGGCCAUCACCACAAGGACAUUUUAUGGAAAGAAGAAAAGUAAGUGCUUAAUCAAGUUAGUUGAGCAUUUAACAUUUAAAAUGUUGUUGUUGUUGUUUUUUCUACGAAUCUCUUAAAAACACUUAAAAUAAUUUUCUGAAGUAAUGUAACAAUGUUUUACCAUCAUAGGAGAGUGUUAAACAAUUGUCCUCCGCAGUGGACAUUUGUAGUUACUACCUCCAUUUUGUUCUCUAUUUUACUUAUUAUAUGAUUCAGUUUUAUGUGUACGGUG